rnacentral:rRNA from 1 species
GCAUCGAUGAAGAACGCAGCGAAAUGCGAUAAUUAAUGUGAAUUGCAGAAUUCAGUGAAUCAUCGAGUCUUUGAACGCACAUUGCGCCCCCUGGUAUUCCGGGGGGCAUGCCUGUCCGAGCGUCAUUGCUGCCCUCAAGCACGGCUUGUGUGUUGGGCUUCCGUCCCUGGUAACGGGGACGGGCCCAAAAGGCAGUGGCGGCACCAUGUCUGGUCCUCGAGCGUAUGGGGCUUUGUCACCCGCUCCCGUAGGUCCAGCUGGCAGCUAGCCUCGCAACCAAUCUUUUUAACCAGGUUGACCUCGGAUCAGGUAGGGAUACCCGCUGAACUUAAGCAUAUCAAUAAGCGGAGG